CUCAGAAUGAAGACUUCCUUGGAGAAUAAUUACUAUCCUUUGUUGUGUCACAGAGCCAGGGCAGGGGUCCCCCGCCCCACAGUAAUGACAUUAAGUGCAGUGAACCUACCCUUCCUGUCCACAGGACACAGGGAAGGCGGGAGCUAGGGUUGGGACACUCCGCCACCAAUCGUGGAGUGAUCAAGCCCUGCCUGGUUUUGGGUUACUUCAUCCAUUGGGCAAGGAACUCACCACCCUUCAAGGUUCCCAAUCCCCUGCCAAAGGGUCAUUGGCUCUGGGGGAAUCACACGUCCUUCUAACAGCUCAGGAGGCCAGCUCCAAUUCCGGACUGGGCUCUGCUAGAUCCCCAGGACACACAUGGCUGUCACCAGGGACAGGAAGGAAGCGUCUGGGGAGCGUGUCCCUGAGCCUCAGGAUCUCAAUUUGCACAUAAAACCCCACCUUCCCUUCAGCACACCCUGUACGCCCUC
rnacentral:lncRNA from 1 species